CAUUAGGGAAUAGGUUCAUUAACUGUGCCGAUAUUAUUUGGGCGGUAUACAUUAAUAAUCCACCGAUCUUGCGCCUACACGGUUUAUUGAGAUUUCUAAUGUGUUUCUUGGUUAGCUGGUAGUCAGAUUCUGCCUGAAACAAAAUUCCAAGGCGAAACACGUUCUAUAUAUAACAGCCAAUGUGAUCAUCCAAAGUCGUCUUUCUUCAAGCUCUGUGUUAGAAUGCCGUAUUUCUAUUGAGCAGUCUCUUUUAUACCACCUCUACAAAACAAUGCUAUAUAAUCGUCCGUAUUGAAUUUUAGUCUAUUUGAGCGUGCUACCCAAGUUUCCUUAUAAAUAGACCUUGAUACAUUAUUAACCUAUACCUAUCUUGCGCCUGCACGGUUUAUUGAGAUUUCUAAUGUGUUUCUUGGU